CCGACAUGUUGUUGUUCACUGUCGUUUGAUCAAAUAGGCCGCCAUGUUUGAGAUGGCUGCCGGUGUUGUGCCAAAAACUGAUGUCCAAUGUUUCCGUGUAUUUUUUAUGUGUAAUAUCUUUACGUAUGUUGGUAAAUAGACUUCGGUGAACAGCGUUUACAAAAGGGUUAUAUAUAGAAUUAAAAAAUUAUCUGUUUUUUCAAGUAUCUUUACAACUCUGUGUUAUUGUACUUACAUUAUAACCAAUCCGGUCCUUUAUCCCCACUUAAAAUAUUUUUACUGAACUAUUGUAAUAUUUGCUGCCAUUGCUGCUGUCCUCUUGGCCAACUUACUCUUACAAAAGACAUUUUUAAUGUUAAUGAGAUUUUUUUAACUGCAUAAAUAAAGGUUAUAUAAAAGUCACUGCCAAAAACUGAUUGCCUUCUAGCUUGUUACACGAAUGUUGUUUGUGGCUCAGUAUGACUUUGUGUCAUCCAUGAGGGAUGCAUUUGACAUAUGUUUCACAUAUUAUAGCCCAACAAGUUACUUAUAGCAGUUCAAAUACGAGCAAUCACUUUUUGGCAAAUACCGGAAAUCAGUUUUUGGCAGACAAUCACUUUUUGGUACAACACCCCGGAAUUGCUGCUUUGUACUUUAUUGACAGACCUUACAAAAUCCUCUCAGACAUCCAGUCCUGGAAGAUUGUGACAUGUUGUAAACACACCUGAAUGCUUCAGAUCACCAAACUGUUGAAACCUCUGCACUCAAGGACUACAAAGCCUCGCGCAAAUCAUCGUUUUCAUGAUUGUCAUGAGACACUUUGCAGGACUCUCAAACUUGUGGAGACCUAUACAUGAUGAACACACACACAGCACAACAUUUGUUUUCAUAACAUAAAGAAAUGAAUCAAUAUUUCUGUAUAAAAGGAUACAUUUUAGGAUUUUUGUAAAAAAUAAUAAAAACACCAGAAAUUUUCAAGAAUUUUUAUUAUUUUACAUGUAUACACACGUACAUAUAACCCAUUAUUCUAUCAUUUGAGAAACUCAUUUAGGUAUAAAAACAGUUUUUCGCGUAAUAGCCAAAGAACCCCUCACAUAUGGAAAAAUAUUACAACAGGGUGAAACAAACGAGGCUUUUGUGAUUACAGCUGAGCAAAUCCACUUAGUGAAAGGCAAACUAGCAAAAAGUGACACCCUAAAUUUUUAUAAUCUCUACAUCACUCACAG